rnacentral:rRNA from 1 species
AGAAUCAACGCUGGCGGCGUGCCUAACACAUGCAAGUCGAACGAGAAAGUGGAGCAAUCCAUGAGUAAAGUGGCGACCGGGUGAGUAACACGUGACUAACCUACCUUCGAGUGGGGGAUAACCUCGGGAAACCGAGGCUAAUACCGCAUAACAUCGCAAGAUCAAAGCAGCAAUGCGCUGGAAGGAGGGGGUCGCGGCUGAUUAGCUAGGUUGGCGGGGUAAUCGGCCCGACAAGGCGAAGAUCGGUA